ensembl:lncRNA
CCCGCCCAGAUAGAAUGUAUUUACACCAAAUCAAAUACUGAUAGAACUUUUAAGAGGCGAGACCGUCCCCAUUUCCGUACAAUCUGUUACCGGCAGAUUAAAAACAAACAAACAACCAAAUUUAAAAAAAACCCCAACUAAACAGAAAAAUAAAUCCAUUAAAACACUGUAGCUGCCACAAUUCCUCUUAUGAAACAUUGCCGCCCCAACCCUAAAUCAAGUUGGAUGUUUUUUAUUUGCUGUCUGAAAGGCUAUUUAAUGCUCUGCUGCCUGUUAAUUACCAAAUCAACUUUUUUUCCUUACAAAUGUUAGGUACUUUUCCUUAAUUUACUGAAGCUGGAGUAGUGUGAAUGGUAAACUUUACACUGGGUCAAAUGAGCUCUGGGAAAUUUCAAUCAAUAAACACCAUUUUCAGAUACAGUAAAUAGCAUAGUGCUGUUUUCACAGAAUUGAUCACGGUUCCAGCCAACCGUGGUCAAAGCGACGCUCCUGAAAAGUGCAACAGUUGAGUUUUGAAGGGGUGAUAUGUCUGAGGCACAGCCGGCUGGCAUCACCAUUAAUGAGGUGAAAAUCCUCAGCAGUGUUUGGCAGCAUGGUCACCUGCGAACCGGUUCCACAAUCACUUCCCAAGUAUCGAUCCAAGAGACAAUCUCAGCCUGUCGGAUCAGAGUUCAUUGCACUGCUCCAUGUUUCUUGUCCAUGUUUUGAAAUUCAACACCCGGUGGCACCACUAGGUCAAGAUCUACAGCAGUAACCAUUGUAGAAGUCAUGCUACAUGCCACCAACCUGGAUUUAUUUUCAUACAGAACUGAAACCGUAUGGUUUCACACACUUACUAAAACAUAUAUCCUGACAUUCAAAACUCAAGCAAGACACACUUUUGUCCUCCGAAAAGGUAAAUGCGACUUCUACAAUGGCUACACAUCUGUAGGUGAUAACUUAAGAGGAACUGUGAACUGCUCCUUUAGAAACCCAAGAAGAUAAUACUACAGAAAACAAAAACGUAACAAUGGCACCUACAAGGAAAUCGACACCCAGGUGAAAGUGACAGUAUACAGUCAAACCUGAAUGUCUGCAGUCUCAGGCUUUGUACUUCCUGUGUCCCACACUCGCAUUAAAAACCUGUAGCCUCACACUUUUGGGAUGAAAACAAAAGAAAAGCGAAAAAUGAAGGGUUUCAUUCCAAAACAAUGCUGAAAAAAAAAGGUACCAGUUAUUUUACAUCGAUUAAAAUAAAAUUAGAUCAUUUACAAAAUAUUAGCCUACUUUGUAAAAAAAAUUUAUAGUCAAUAUAUGACAUAACAUAUGAUCUAUUAGUGAGUGUUACAGUCAAACUAUUAAUUC